ACUUGACUAUACAUACGUUUUUAAAGUGUUAAAAUCUUGACGUUUAUGAAAAACAUUGCAAUAAUAAAUAUUUAUGCUAUUUUAAUAAUUCUGAUUUAUCUUGGACCUUAGGCCUACGUAAAAAAAACUAUCUUUGCACUCUAAUGAAUAAACGACCAAAUAAAACAUCAAAUAAAAUGUAUUGUAUAACAUUUAUUUCUUGUUGCCACACACACUUGCUGUACUUAUUGGUUGAUGCAUUUGAAGUGAAGUUGGUUUGUUGUACAUCGCCCCCUAAAGGCCUGAAAGUGAAGUGCGCCACAGAUUGACAGGUGAAGUGGUACCUGUCUCAGGUGUCUGCUGUGUGCGUGCAUGCGCGUGCGUCUGUGUGUGUGGUAAAUAGGAUAGCUCAUAGUGACUGCUGCUCAGAGGAGAGCUCGCUCAUGGAGCCGUGACACACUUUGGUUUCCCAGCAUGCAGCAGGAGCUUUGGCUGAGGGCCCUUCUUCAUAUCUGUGUGUGCGAUGAGAUCAGCCACGGCACAAACACUGAUAAAACCAACCGAGCAAGAGCUGAAAAAUGCCUUAUCCAAUAGUGCCUUCAGCGGGCAUAACCACGUCUCCGACUCAACCAGACCAGAACAGUCCAGAACGAAACCAUCGGCAGACGCAUGCAAUAGUGUUUCUUUGCAUCAUCAUGGCCAUAAUCGAGAUAACGCAGAUGUUGCCGAUGGCCCCUGGAACCUCCACAACCCAGUGAAAGCUUCAAGGAGCCACCAAGAACUUCACAAAGAGCUGCUGCUGGCACACAAAAAGUAAGACUUUAUGAAAAUCGUCCAAAUCUGAUUUAAAAACUUUCACUACUUAUAAACAGGUUUAUCUAAUUCUUCAGUCUUUUAUAAAUCGCUGACUAGAUUAUGUGAGGUUGGUGAAAAAUUGAUGAUGGCUCGUUCUUUCUCUCUAGUCUUUUGUGUCAGGCAGCCAUGUGUGGACACACAGGCUGCAAUCGUACACCCUUUGGUAUUAUCAGCAGCCUACUUUAAGGCAAUGAUGUGUCAGGCUCUGUAACAGACAGGCGCUGUUCUGGUCUGCUGUUUGCAACUACUUGACAAUACUGUGAUGUGUUUUAAAUUAAUUAGUUGAAUAUGACUCUUCCAAUGCUCAUUAAAAAGGUUUAAGGCAUGGGUCUUCAACAGGGGGUCUGGGGCCCCUUGGAGUUUCAUGGUGGUAUUACUGGGGUUUCUCCAAAUAUUGUUUAAUUUAAUUAUUAUUUUGAAUGAAAUUAGGCAUUUAAAAAAAAUGUAUUAAAAGUCUAAUAAUAGAAAUGAUAUAAAACUUAAUUAACAUUUUUAUAUAGUCAGUAAAUUGUUAUGUAA